rnacentral:rRNA from 1 species
ACCUGAUCCAGCAACGCCGCGUGGAGGACGAAGGUCUUCGGAUCGUAAACUCCUGUCAGACGGGACGAAGGUUUCAGGGUAAAUAAUCCUGGAACUUGACGGUACUGUCAGAGGGAGCCCCGGCUAACUCCGUGCCAGCAGCCGCGGUAAUACGGAGGGGGCGAGCGUUAUUCGGAAUUAUUGGGCGUAAAGGGCGCGUAGGCGGCUUGCCAAGUCAAAGGUGAAAUCCCUCGGCUCAACUGAGGAACUGCCUUUGAAACUGUCAGGCUUGAGUCCGGGAGGGGGUAGCGGAAUUCCCAGUGUAGCGGUGAAAUGCGUAGAUAUUGGGAGGAACACCAGUGGCGAAGGCGGCUACCUGGACCGGAUCUGACGCUGAUGCGCGAAAGCGUGGGUAGCAAACAGGAUUAGAUACCCUGGUAGUCCACGCUGUAAACGAUGGGUGCUCGGUGUCGCGGGUAUCGACCCCUGCGGUGCCUUAGCCAACGCGUUAAGCACCCCGCCUGGGGAGUACGGUCGCAAGGCUG